AGCGGCGAACGGGUUAGUAAUAAAUGGGUAAUUUGCCCCUAAGUUCGGAAUAGCCAUCGGAAACGAUGAUUAAUGCCGGAUGUGAUCGGUCUUCGCAUGAAGACCUCUUUAAAGGCGGGGAAUCUUCGGAUCCUGUCGCUUAGGGAUGGGCCCAUUUCCUAUCAGCUAGUUGGUGAGGUAACGGCUCACCAAGGCUUACGGGUAGCUGGUCUGAGAGGAUGAUCAGCAACACUGGGACUGAGACACUGCCCAGACUCCUACGGGAGGCUGCUGUCGAGAAUCAUUGUCAAUGCACGAAAGUGUGAACAUGCGACGCCGCGUGGAGGAAGACGGCCUUUGGGUUGUAAACUCCUGUCAGCAGGGAGUAAGGGUGGUAUACUUAAUAUGUAUGCCAUUUGAUAGUACCUGCAGAGGAAGUCACGGCUAACUCUGUGCCAGCAGCCGCGGUAAUACAGAGGUGGCGAACGUUGUUCGGAUUUACUGGGCGUAAAGGGUCCGCAGGCGGUCCGGUGUGUCAGAUGUGAAAGCCCACAGCUUAACUGUGGAAUUGCAUUUGAAACUGCCGGACUAGAGUACUGGAGGGGAGAAGGGAACACUUGGUGUAGCGGUGAAAUGCGUAGAUAUCAAGUGGAACACCGGUGGCGAAGGCGCUUCUCUGGACAGAUACUGACGCUCAUGGACGAAAGUUAGGGUAGCGAAAGGGAUUAGAUACCCCUGUAGUCCUAACCGUAAACGGUGUGCGCUAGGCGUGGGUGGCUUUACCCCCAUCCGUGCCUGAGCUAACGCAUUAAGCGCACCGCCUGGGGAGUACGGUCGCAAG
rnacentral:rRNA from 1 species